AACGCGACCAUUCUACUGUGGGUUGACUUCGACAGCCCCAAGGACGUUCUUAUCUUUAUUUUCCACAUUCUGUUCGCUACAAGUGCUAUUCUCAUCGCUGGCUCGGUAGUGAUCGCUAUCUUUAGCACGAGAUCUCUGCGAAUACAGAACCGGUUCAUAUUCAUGUUGAACACCAGCAUCAGUGACACACUGACUGGUUUUUCCAUUUAUUACCUCGGUCUCUUCGACGUUCAAGAAGGCUACCCAUCCAGGAAUGGAACGUUUUACAUUUUGCCUUCAUUCCUAGGGGUGAAUGUGCUCACAUUUUUGUUUGCGCAAUUUGACAGGUACUUUGCAGUGUGCCACCCCUUUUUUUACAAUCGCUUCAUGUCGCGUUCGUUUGUCAUUGGAAUUUGUGCGUUUUGUUGGAUUUACACCUAUUCCAUAUUAAUGGUGCAAAACAUGGUUCCCAUCUCAAAAGCUGCGCAGAUUAAUGCAUUCGGCGUUAUGACUUUGCAAAUAAUAGUUCUUACCAAGGUAUUGAUGACCAUCAAGUUGUACAUCAUAGCCAGAAACCAGCUAGGGCGAGAGGCACCCAGCACUGAGAGAGAAAACAAGAAAGAGUCUCUGCGCAUCAUAGUGUUUGUGGUCAUAUGCUUCUUAGUGUUAUGGGCUCCCUCCUUUGUCAAUAUCAUAGUGCGGCAGCUAACUUACCACGGUCUGAAGUUUAGGAAUGAGGCAACAAAUCUGUUUGCCAUCUUGGCGAGGUUUAACGCAUUGGUCACACCAGCAUUGUACAUCUGGGGCAGCCCAGCGCUAAGCUGUGCGGUAUGGAGAACGGUGUGGAGGAGAGUGUGUCCCAAGCGGAAGGGAAGAAUCGGUUUUGAUCACUUAAGGAUGAGCAAAGACAGAGGAAGAAUUUUAAGCAUAGCUGAGGGUCUUGGGGCAACCGGUGUGAACAAUCUAAGUGCCUAAUUUUGCAAUUUUUGCGCAACACCCACGGCCCUUGUUUGCUUCAAUUUCCUUUUCCACUAUUUCCCAGCCAAACUUUAUCUGGUAGCCUACCCACACUCUUGUAUUUCUUUUUUUGUUGUUUUACUGUAAAGACUGACACAUUUUCAUUUCUAACCUGGUAUUAAUACAUUUAAUUUUAAUGAAUUAAUGCACAUGUUGUGGUGACAUAUUUGUGAAAAAUAUAAACACCUCAUUUAUCUUCUGUAAAAGUAAAUUAACCAAAUUCAACGUGAACACCCAAAACAUAUUCCUAUUACCAUCAUUGUCGGAGAUAGUCUUCUGUAUCCUUGUGUUGUGGGACCCUUCCAAGAAUGAUGCAUGAGAAAUGUAAAUUCACUUUUGUUGUGGAAAAAGGUGAAAUAGGAUUUGAGAGAUGGAAUGGACCAGACUGUAAAAUUGUCUCUCUUAACCAGCAUUUAUUUUUCCAGCUAUCCAAAAAUAUUUCACUAGGAAUGUCAUAGUAUCGAAUGCUACCUCAACUUCACCUUUAAAAAUGGAUGAUUCAUUAACCUGCAGGUCUCUUGUGGUAAAUUCUUGCAAACCCUUCGCCUAUUUUAUUACCCUGCAUGUGAAAUGUACGUUGUCCAACCAUAUGUGGUAUGUCAUCAUGGCUACAGAUGUUCACAGAUGGACAAUAUUGAAAAUAUUUAGAUUAAAGCCUACAUAGGCUACACGAGUUGCACAAGAGUUGUAGCCAACAAGACUACACCUGCUUAUUUGUAAUUUGUUGACUGCGUAUAUGUGAUCACUAAAAUGUCAGUAUUUGUUCUAAAUGUGAAGAUGAACAUCAAAAGCCUGACUGAAUAAAUAUGUUUAAUGUAUGACUUCA